AAACCAGCACCUCAAGUGGUCAGGAGGAUUAUUGGGCCUAAAGCAUCCGUAGCCUGCUGCAUAAGUUUUCGGUUAAAUCCAUACGCUCAACGUAUGGGCUGCCGGGAAUACUGUGCAGCCAGGGAGUGGGAGAGGUAGACGGUACUCAGUAGGAAGGGGUAAAAUCCUUUGAUCUAUUGAUGACCACCUGUGGCGAAGGCGGUCUACCAGAACACGUUCGACGGUGAGGGAUAAAAGCUGGGGGAGCAAACCGGAUUAGAUACCCGUGUAGUCC
rnacentral:rRNA from 1 species